UACGUAGGGGGCGAGCGUUGUCCGGAUUUACUGGGCGUAAAGGGUGAGUAGGCGGUUAUUUAAGUCAGAUGUAAAAGGCUAUGGCUCAACUAUAGUAAGCAUUUGAAACUGGAUAACUUGAGUGCAGGAGAGGUAAGUGGAAUUCCUAGUGUAGCGGUGAAAUGCGUAGAUAUUAGGAGGAACACCAGUGGCGAAGGCGACUUACUGGACUGUAACUGACGCUGAGUCACGAAAGCGUGGGUAGCAAACAGGAUUAGAUA
rnacentral:rRNA from 1 species